rnacentral:rRNA from 1 species
GAUGAACGCUGGCGGCGUGCCUAACACAUGCAAGUCGAACGGAAACUAGGCGCUUCGGAGACUUCGGUCAAUGUUUGCUUAGUUUUAGUGGCGGACGGGUGAGUAACGCGUGGAUAACCUGCCUCAUACAGGGGGAUAACAGUUAGAAAUGACUGCUAAUACCGCAUAAGCGCACGGGAUCGCAUGUUUCUGUGUGAAAAACUCCGGUGGUAUGAGAUGGAUCCGCGUCUGAUUAGCUAGUUGGCGGGGUAACAGCCCACCAAGGCGACGAUCAGUAGCCGGCCUGAGAGGGUGAACGGCCACAUUGGGACUGAGACACGGCCCAAACUCCUACGGGAGGCAGCAGUGGGGGAUAUUGCACAAUGGGGGAAACCCUGAUGCAGCGACGCCGCGUGAGUGAAGAAGUAUUUCGGUAUGUAAAGCUCUAUCAGCAGGGAAGAUAAUGAC